rnacentral:lncRNA from 1 species
GCGUCAAUCACGCCAAUGCUUGAGCGAUCUUCAGUUCCAGUCGUACGCAUGCUUUGAAUAAAGUGCUGCUACUUGCUCUUCAAGAAUGAAGUUAUUGAGUAACGUCAUUGCAGCAUUUAUAACAGGUGUUACGUGGGCAAAAAACUCGGCUGACCGCAACCGGCUGGACGUGCUACAGCAUCUCUUUGGCGGUAUCAUGUAUAAUGGCUUCGCACUCCGCGAUCUUUAUUUCACCGUACGACCGGAAGGAGCACCUCCGAAUAGUACGCUUUACCGCUUCAACCUGACAUAUGGAAAGU